UACGGAGGGUGCUAGCGUUGUUCGGAAUUACUGGGCGUAAAGGGCGCGUAGGCGGCCGUUUGCGUCGGAUGUGAAAGCCCGGGGCUCAACCUCGGAACGGCAUUCGAUACGGGACGGCUGGAGACCGGGAGAGGAGAGUGGAAUAGCCAGUGUAGAGGUGAAAUUCGUAGAUAUUGGACUGGAACACCGGUGGCGAAAGCGGCUCUCUGGCCCGGUUCUGACGCUGAGGCGCGAAAGCGUGGGGAGCGAACAGG
rnacentral:rRNA from 1 species